rnacentral:rRNA from 1 species
GACGUAGGGCGCAAGCGUUGUCCGGAUUUAUUGGGCGUAAAGAGCUCGUAGGCGGCUUGUUGCGUCGUCCGUGAAAACCCGUGGCUCAACUGCGGGCUUGCGGACGAUACGGGCAGGCUGGAGUUCGGUAGGGGAGACUGGAAUUCCUGGUGUAGCGGUGAAAUGCGCAGAUAUCAGGAGGAACACCGGUGGCGAAGGCGGGUCUCUGGGCCGAUACUGACGCUGAGGAGCGAAAGCGUGGGGAGCGAACAGG